UCCGUAGGCGGGCUAAUAAGUCAGGGGUGAAGUCCCACAGCUUAACUGUGGAACUGCCUUUGAUACUGUUAGUCUUGAGUUAUAUGGAAGUAGAUAGAAUGUGUAGUGUAGCGGUGAAAUGCAUAGAUAUUACACAGAAUACCGAUUGCGAAGGCAGUCUACUACGUAUAUACUGACGCUAAUGGACGAAAGCGUGGGGAGCGAACAGGAUUAGAUACCCUGGUGGUCC
rnacentral:rRNA from 1 species